CAAGUCGAGCGGUAGCACAGAGAGCUUGCUCUCGGGUGACGAGCGGCGGACGGGUGAGUAAUGUCUGGGAAACUGCCUGAUGGAGGGGGAUAACUACUGGAAACGGUAGCUAAUACCGCAUAAUGUCGCAAGACCAAAGUGGGGGACCUUCGGGCCUCAUGCCAUCAGAUGUGCCCAGAUGGGAUUAGCUAGUAGGUGGGGUAACGGCUCACCUAGGCGACGAUCCCUAGCUGGUCUGAGAGGAUGACCAGCCACACUGGAACUGAGACACGGUCCAGACUCCUACGGGAGGCAGCAGUGGGGAAUAUUGCACAAUGGGCGCAAGCCUGAUGCAGCCAUGCCGCGUGUGUGAAGAAGGCCUUCGGGUUGUAAAGCACUUUCAGCGGGGAGGAAGGCGUUAAGGUUAAUAACCUUGGCGAUUGACGUUACCCGCAGAAGAAGCACCGGCUAACUCCGUGCCAGCAGCCGCGGUAAUACGGAGGGUGCAAGCGUUAAUCGGAAUUACUGGGCGUAAAGCGCACGCAGGCGGUCUGUCAAGUCGGAUGUGAAAUCCCCGGGCUCAACCUGGGAACUGCAUUCGAAACUGGCAGGCUAGAGUCUUGUAGAGGGGGGUAGAAUUCCAGGUGUAGCGGUGAAAUGCGUAGAGAUCUGGAGGAAUACCGGUGGCGAAGGCGGCCCCCUGGACAAAGACUGACGCUCAGGUGCGAAAGCGUGGGGAGCAAACAGGAUUAGAUACCCUGGUAGUCCACGCCGUAAACGAUGUCGAUUUGGAGGUUGUGCCCUUGAGGCGUGGCUUCCGGAGCUAACGCGUUAAAUCGACCGCCUGGGGAGUACGGCCGCAAGGUUAAAACUCAAAUGAAUUGACGGGGGCCCCGCACAAGAA
rnacentral:rRNA from 1 species